rnacentral:rRNA from 1 species
UUUCGAAUCAUUCACAAUGGGGGCAACCCUGAUGGUGCAACGCCGCGUGAGGGAUGAAGGCCCUCGGGUCGUAAACCUCUGUCACCGGGGAGCAACAAGCAGGUUAGUAGCCUGUCCUGAGUUAACCCGGAGAGGAAGCAGUGGCUAACUCCGUGCCAGCAGCCGCGGUAAUACGGAGACUGCGAGCGUUACUCGGAUUCACUGGGCGUAAAGGGUGCGCAGGCGGAUGAAUGUGUCAGGUGUGAAAUCUCGGGGCUCAACCUCGAAACUGCGCCUGAAACUGUUCAUCUAGAGUAUUGGAGAGGUAAGCGGAAUUUCCGGAGUAGCGGUGAAAUGCGUAGAUAUCGGAAGGAACACCAAUGGCGAAGGCAGCUUACUGGACAAUAACUGACGCUCAGGCACGAAAGCAUGGGUAGCGAAAGGGAUUAGAUACCCCCGUAGUCC